rnacentral:rRNA from 1 species
CUACGGGACGCACCAGUGGGGAAUAUUGGACAAUGGGCGAAAGCCUGAUCCAGCAACGCCGCGUGGAGGAUGACACAUUUCGGUGCGUAAACUCCUUUUAUUAGGGAAGAUAAUGACGGUACCUAAUGAAUAAGCACCGGCUAACUCCGUGCCAGCAGCCGCGGUAAUACGGAGGGUGCAAGCGUUACUCGGAAUCACUGGGCGUAAAGCGCGCGCAGGCGGGUUUGUAAGUUGGAAGUGAAAUGCACUGGCUUAACCAGUGAACUGCUUCCAAAACUACUUACCUAGAGUCUGGGAGGGGAAGAUGGAAUUAGUUGUGUAGGGGUAAAAUCCGUAGAUAUCACUAGGAAUACCUAAAGCGAAGGCGAUCUCCUGGAACAUUACUGACGCUAAGGCGUGAAAGCGUGGGGAGCAAACAGGAUUAGAUACCCCGGUAGUC